GGAGCUAUGGCUCAAUGGUAGAGCAUUUGCUUGGCAUUCAGAGGGUCUUGGGUUCAAUUCCCAGCAUUUCCA
rnacentral:tRNA from 1 species